GGGCGAGGGGCGGGGGCGGGGGUCUCGUGGCUCCCGCAGCGCGCGCGGCGGCGCCGGGGGCCCACUGCGCAGGCGCCCCGCACCUCGCGGGCUGGGAAUCUCCUGCCAGCGGGACUUCGGUUCGCCAAUCCCUGCACCGUGACUUGGGCCGGGAUCGUUUCCACGUGUGCCUUUUGAGUCGAACUUGGCCGUGGCGCGGCCAGACGUUUCUCCUCACCCUGCCCAGCAGGUUGCAUGAAACACGUGCACUUAUUUUACCCGCGAUAAGACCCUCUGCUGGCAUCAAGCAAGCAGGAUCUUGAAAACUCACUUUUCCAGUGAAAGAAUCCCUGCAUCAAAGGGAAACUGAAUCUGAAAUGAAGACCCAGGCACCCAGGAGAACAUAGCUUCUCUGUAAUGUUCUAACACUGGGGGGAUCUGUUCUGAGACCAACAGUCCGAUACAUAUUUCUGCCUUUUUUCUCAGGCUCCCUUGACGUUAAUUCUGUCAUCACUCUAAUCAAGGAGCUCUGUAAUGAUUGGCCUGUGUGUUUGUAAGAAAUUUCAAGACUGGGAGCCAGCCUGAAGCAUACCUGUUGCCCCUGAGUCAGCACAGUGCCUGGAACUUGGUGUCCAGGAGGGAUUCAAAAUACAUUGUUUGAGCGAGAGAGUGUUCCAGAAGCUACGUGGAUCAAAGGCCAGUUAUUACUGUACCUGUUAACUCUUUAUCGGUGAUAGGAAGUGAAAGAUGGGUGAACAUAGGUAUCUCCACAUGCAGAGGUUGGGGAAGAUAUUGAGAUCAAGGACAUAGUGGAAAUUGCCCAGGAUCUGAAAGCUAAUGGUAGCUACACGAGGUGGAAACUUGGGGCUCAUUGAUGAUAACACCCCAGAAAGUCUGCAGUGGAGGCCGACCCUGCUUAACUUGCCCCCAGCAGUCCUGUUUGUUCCCCUUCCACUUUCUGCUGUUUCACCUCCACCAUUUCAUCCACCAUUUCAUCGUGUCUGCCAGCAUUUCAGAAGCUCUCUUCCCAGGAUUCUGUCCCCUGCUUCUUUGGCACAGUGUUGGUAUAUUCAACACUGGUUCUGGUUGUGGCAGAUGAAAGUUGACUGUUUUGCGUCCUUCUGAAGGAACAGAGUAAUUGUGAUUUAUAACUCUUUCAUGACUUUUGAUGAUUGUGGAUCCUGAGGAAGGUCCUUGGCUGCAGAGCUGGUUUCCUUGUGCAAGAACCCUAUUCUU